AUGAUUGUUCACUAAAAUAUGUUUCCCGAGUACUUUGUAUUGAAAAAAAUAACUUUUAAUAUAUGUCAAUAUCUUACAAAAUGGUAUGAGAUACGUACAAGAAAACCGUUUGUUAGGUGAAUGUUGGCCAAACAAUGAUUUGUAUGUAGUUUUGUAUACAUUUGAAUCAAAAAGAGACACACGUGUAGAAAGACCAAACUUCAGCAAUAAAAAUAUUUCAGCAUCAAAAUGGUUAAUAGUGAGUAUUAUAGCUUCAAAAGAGCCUAUUGGCUCACUCUAAAGGAUGCCCUGCAAUUGUUGUUAAACUCAUCAGAUGAAACUACCCUUCUCAGCUAGCCCUUAGAUUUGUCUGGCUAACAGUAAAAUACUACAAUAAAUCGGUAACAUAUGUUGCCAGACAAGAAUAAAUUAUAUAAAUAAAGAGUCAAGAGACAUAGCCCCUCAAGAACAAUGUGAAAAGAUUUAUACUUUCAAUAUUGCAUUUUAAACACAAAUGUUCUCCGUGACUGCCUGCUUUGCAGCAUUAGGGUUGUUGCCACUUUUGCUGCUUGACAUCCAAGAUGUCAAGUAAUUCCCAGGAUUCAUUUGUAAUAUAAGGCUAUCUGAACUGAAUUUCUCCCUACAAGACAACUGAUAUAUACAAACAAAGAAAUAUAAUCAAGUAAUUUUUGUACUUAAUCUGAGGCAAUUAGUACCUGAAUAAAUAUAGACUAAGAUAUUUGCCUACUCAAACUGUAAUUAUACUUCUGUUUAACCCAAAGA